rnacentral:rRNA from 1 species
CAGCAGCCGCGGGAAUACGGAGGGUGCAAGCGUUAAUCGGAAUUACUGGGCGUAAAGCGCACGCAGGCGGUCUGACAAGUCAGAUGUGAAAUCCCCGGGCUUAACCUGGGAACUGCAUUUGAAACUGUCAGGCUGGAGUCUUGUAGAGGGGGGUAGAAUUCCAGGUGUAGCGGUGAAAUGCGUAGAGAUCUGGAGGAAUACCGGUGGCGAAGGCGGCCCCCUGGACAAAGACUGACGCUCAGGUGCGAAAGCGUGGGGAGCAAACAGGAUUAGAUACCCCAGUAGUCCCUGUCUCUUAACA